rnacentral:rRNA from 1 species
GUGGGGAAUUUUGCGCAAUGGGGGAAACCCUGACGCAGCAACGCCGCGUGAGUGAUGAAGGCCUUCGGGUCGUAAAGCUCUGUCAGAGGGAAAGAAAUGCGGGAGGGUUAAUACCCCUUUUGCUUGACGGUACCCUCAAAGGAAGCACCGGCUAACUCCGUGCCAGCAGCCGCGGUAAUACGGAGGGUGCGAGCGUUGUUCGGAAUUAUUGGGCGUAAAGCGCGUGUAGGCGGUCUUUUAAGUCUGAUGUGAAAGCCCCGGGCUCAACCUGGGAAGUGCAUUGGAAACUGGGAGACUUGAAUACGGGAGAGGGUAGUGGAAUUCCUAGUGUAGGAGUGAAAUCCGUAGAUAUUAGGAGGAACACCGGUGGCGAAGGCGGCUACCUGGACCGAUAUUGACGCUGAGACGCGAAAGCGUGGGGAGCAAACAGGAUUAGAUACCCUAGUAGUCC